UACGUAGGGUGCAAGCGUGUCCGGAAUUAUUGGGCGUAAAGAGCUCGUAGGCGGCCUGUCGCGUCGGCUGUGAAAACCCGAGGCUCAACCUCGGGCCUGCAGUCGAUACGGGCAGGCUAGAGUUCGGUAGGGGAGACUGGAAUUCCUGGUGUAGCGGUGAAAUGCGCAGAUAUCAGGAGGAACACCGGUGGCGAAGGCGGGUCUCUGGGCCGAAACUGACGCUGAGGAGCGAAAGCGUGGGGAGCGAACAGG
rnacentral:rRNA from 1 species